UGGGGAAUUUUGGACAAUGGGCGAAAGCCUGAUCCAGCAAUGCCGCGUGUGUGAAGAAGGCCUUCGGGUUGUAAAGCACUUUUGUCCGGAAAGAAAUCCUUGGCUCUAAUACAGUCGGGGGAUGACGGUACCGGAAGAAUAAGCACCGGCUAACUACGUGCCAGCAGCCGCGGUAAUACGUAGGGUGCAAGCGUUAAUCGGAAUUACUGGGCGUAAAGCGUGCGCAGGCGGUUUGCUAAGACCGAUGUGAAAUCCCCGGGCUCAACCUGGGAACUGCAUUGGUGACUGGCAGGCUAGAGUAUGGCAGAGGGGGGUAGAAUUCCACGUGUAGCAGUGAAAUGCGUAGAGAUGUGGAGGAAUACCGAUGGCGAAGGCAGCCCCCUGGGCCAAUACUGACGCUCAUGCACGAAAAGCGUGGGGGAGCAAAACAGGAUUAGAUACCCCUGGUUGUCCACGCCCUAAACGAUGUCAACUAGUUGUUGGGGAUUCAUUUCC
rnacentral:rRNA from 1 species